rnacentral:rRNA from 1 species
AAUGACCUACGGGGGGCAGCAGUAGGGAAUAUUGCUCAAUGGGGGAAACCCUGAAGCAGCAACGCCGCGUGGAGGAUGAAGGUUUUAGGAUUGUAAACUCCUUUUGUUAGAGAAGAUUAUGACGGUAUCUAACGAAUAAGCACCGGCUAACUCCGUGCCAGCAGCCGCGGUAAUACGGAGGGUGCAAGCGUUACUCGGAAUCACUGGGAGUAAAGAGUGCGUAGGCGGGGUAAUAAGUCAGAUGUGAAAUCAUGUAGCUCAACU